rnacentral:siRNA from 1 species
UCUAAAAACUGCCUACUUUUA